CCUACGUGUCGCAGCAGUGGGGAAUAUUGCACAAUGGGGGGAACCCUGAUGCAGCGACGCCGCGUGGGUGAAGGAGUGCUUCGGCAUGUAAAGCCCUAUCGGCAGGGAAGAAGCAAGACGGUACCUGACUAAGAACCCACGGCGAACUACGUGCCAGCAGCCGCGGUAAUACGUAGGGGGCGAGCGUGAUCCGGUUGCACUGGGUGUAAAGGGAGCGGAGACGGCCAUGCAAGCUCGGGGUGCAAGCCCGUGGCCCAACCCCGGGAGUGCCGUUGUAACUGAAUGGCUGGAGGGCGUGAGGGGCAGGCGGAAUGCCUGGUGUAGCGGUGAAAUGCGUAGAUAUAAGGAGGAACACCGGGGGCGAAGGCGGCCUGCUGGACCGCGACUGACGUUGAGGCUCGAAAGCGGGGGGAGCGAACAGGAUUAGAUACCCGUGGAGUC
rnacentral:rRNA from 1 species